rnacentral:rRNA from 1 species
GACGAACGCUGGCGGCGUGCUUAACACAUGCAAGUCGAACGGAAAGGCCCUGCUUUUGUGGGGUGCUCGAGUGGCGAACGGGUGAGUAACACGUGAGUAACCUGCCCUUGACUUUGGGAUAACUUCAGGAAACUGGGGCUAAUACCGGAUAGGAGCUCCUGCUGCAUGGUGGGGGUUGGAAAGUUUCGGCGGUUGGGGAUGGACUCGCGGCUUAUCAGCUUGUUGGUGGGGCAGUGGCUUACCAAGGCUUUGACGGGUAGCCGGCCUGAGAGGGUGACCGGCCACAUUGGGACUGAGAUACGGCCCAGACUCCUACGGGAGGCAGCAGUGGGGAAUAUUGCACAAUGGGCGGAAGCCUGAUGCAGCAACGCCGCGUGCGGGAUGACGGCCUUCGGGUUGUAAACCGCUUUCGCCUGUGACGAAGCGUGAGUGACGGUAAUGGGUAAAGAAGCACCGGCGAACUACGU